AUUGAACGCUGGCGGCAGGCCUACACCUGCCAAUCGAACCAGUGGCGGACGUGUGAGUAAUGUCUGGGAAACUGCCUGAUGGAGGGGGAUAACUACUGGAAACGGUAGCUAACACCGCAUACCAUCAGAUGUGCCCAGAUGGGAUUAGCUUGGUGGUGGGGUAACGGCUCACCAAGGCGACGAUCCCUAGCUGGUCUGAGAGGAUGACCGGCCACACUGGAACUGAGACACGGUCCAGACGCCUACGGGAGGCAGCAGUGGGGAAUAUUGGACAAUGGGCGCAAGCCUGACGCAGCCAUGCCGCGUGUAUGAAGAAGGCCUUCGGGUUGUAAAGUACUUUCAGCGGGGAGGCGUUACCCGCACAAGAAGCACCGGCUAACUCCGUGCCAGCAGCCGCGGUAAUAC
rnacentral:rRNA from 1 species